UGGGGAAUUUUGGACAAUGGGCGCAAGCCUGAUCCAGCCAUACCGCGUGAGUGAAGAAGGCCUUCGGGUUGUAAAGCUCUUUCAGACGGAAAGAAACGGUUACGGCUAAUACCCGUGACUAAUGACGGUACCGUAAGAAGAAGCACCGGCUAACUACGUGCCAGCAGCCGCGGUAAUACGUAGGGUGCGAGCGUUAAUCGGAAUUACUGGGCGUAAAGCGUGCGCAGGCGGCUCCUUAAGUCAGAUGUGAAAUCCCCGGGCUUAACCUGGGAACUGCGUUUGAAACUGAGGGGCUAGAGUGUGGAAGAGGGGGGUGGAAUUCCAGGUGUAGCAGUGAAAUGCGUAGAGAUCUGGAGGAACACCGAUGGCGAAGGCAGCCCCCUGGGCUAACGACUGACGCUCAUGCACGAAAGCGUGGGGAGCGAACAGGAUUAGAUACCCCGGUAGUCCCUGAGCGGGCUGGCAAGGCGCAU
rnacentral:rRNA from 1 species